rnacentral:lncRNA from 1 species
UUUUUUUCAUACAUACAAACUGAAUUGUAAACUCUGCAUAGGCUCUGAUGAGUUGUUUUCAGUAUGUAGGUUUCAGUGGUAAAAGUAAGGUCUCGCGGAAUUUUUUUCUGACAUAAUUAAAAAUAUUAGAAUAUGCAAAAUCUUGGUCCUAAAUAGAGAAUGGGGGCAUGCAGAAAAAGAAUAUUUUCUGAAUAACAAAUGGCAGAUAUUGACAAUAUAUGAUACUUAUACAAAUCCUUGUGUGUUGAAUGUGCACUUUUAGAAUGACCUUAUGUAAAAAUAUUUCCCAUUAAAUACUUUUGCAUAUAGCAAUUCUAAUUAAUUCUUUACAUUUACCCUCUUCUUUUUUAAUCACUGUUGUUAUUGUACUAAGCAUUGCAUUUUAUAUUCUACUAAAAUUCUGUGUUUUAAGCUUUGGAGGUAAUUCAAAUAACUGAAAUAUAAAAUCCCAAGUCACAUCUUAUAAGUAUUAUGUCAGGAAGAUCUAUCACAAUCUGUCAUCAUUUAUGAAGCCCUCACCUAUCAACUACAUAAAACAACUAUGGUCAGUGUUUCCUAACAAUCAUCUUCAAAACAUCAUAAAAAAGCAUGUCAUAUGAGAGAAAAAAAAUCCAAAAUGUGGGAAUCUUUACUUAUUUAGCAAGGAGCCCAUGUCUUGAAAACAUUAUCUUAGCUUUCUCUGUUGAAGUAUAAUCACUGUGCUCUUAGGCACCCAGCCUAAAGGCAGACAGAGUUACAUGCAAGUAUUUUAUUGCAAAAAUAUGUAGAAAAGUUUAAAUCUUUUCCUCCUGGGAAAUAAUUCACAAAGAACCAUAAUUCUUUGAAUAUUCUAUUGAGUAUCCAAAGUGUGUGAAAAUAAGCACCCUGUGUAUUCAUGGUGGAUUGUAUAUUGCAAUAAUCCAUGUAGAAUACAAUCUGGAAAAAGUGUCUUAUAUGCCUUAAAAUGUCAUUAGAUUUCAUUGGACUCAGCAAUAUAAUUUUCAUGCAACUUUUUAAAAAAUACAUGUGUGAGGAUAAUCAUCACGCCUUUUUAUUUAUUUAUUUUUUAAAACUUAAAUCUUGGAUUUCCGUCAUGGCACAGUAGCUAACAAAUCCAACUAGGACCAUGAGGUUUCAGGUUCGAUUCCUGGCCUUGCUCAGUGGGUUAGGGAUCUGCAUUGCCAUGAGCUGUGGUGGAGGUCACAGAUGCGGAUCAGAUCCCGUGUUGCUGUGGCUGUGGUGUAGGUCAGCAGCUACAGCUCCAAUUGGACCCCUAGCCUGGAAACCUCCAUAUACCACAGGAGCAGCCCUAGAAAAGGCAAAAAGACCAAAAAAAAAAAAAAAGAAAGAAAAACUUAAAUUCCAACACUUGAUUAUUGAUAAAGUUAUGGUAAUAGCGUAUAAUAGAAACUAUACUUAUAUCCAGCCAUUAAAAAUAAUCAUAUGUGAAAAAUAUGUAAUCACAUGGAAAAUAUUCAUUAAAGAAUGGUAAGUGAAAAUAAGAGAUAUGAAAUAUAUAACAUACUGGGAGUACAUAUGCUAGAGUGCUAAGAGUAGAUGGUUUUGUGUGUUACUUUGCGUCUUUCUGCUCUGCCAAAUUAUUUGCAUUGAACAUUCAUUACUUCUGGUAUUUAGAAAAUGUUUUUAAAUGAGGUAAAGGGCAAAGUUUAUGAAGAGUUUAAGCGAUGUAAAGGGAUACUUAUGGUAGAAUGUCAAAAGAAGGAAAGCAGUUUUGCACAAUGCAUAGAUACAAACAUCACAAUGACAAGGCGCCUAUGCUGGCCCACAUCAUGGGUAGCCUGUUUUCAGCCAUGUGACGAGGACACAGCUCUUAACAGCAGCUAUCGAGCUGUGGGCAGAAGCAGUUCCAGGGAUUUGAUAAGACUGGAAUACUAGAACAUAGAAUAAAAGUAAAACAAAACAAAACCAAACCCUCUUAGAGCUUUCUGUUGUGAACAGGGUACUGUUGAAUGAGAAGCACCUCUUUAAUACUUACGAAUUUCUAUAAAGGGGAAUAACUGUGUGGAAAAUUCAAAAGAUAGAAAGGCAGGCUUAUGCUUAAGAUCUUGGGGAGCUAUUGUGUGAUUAGGUUUGAUUGCACUUUUCUUUUUACAUAACAUGAUUUAUAUAUGAACAGAGGCAUUUCAUUAAGAUCUGAAAGCACAAAACAUUUCCUAAUGAAAGCAACAUCAAAUUGUGGGAUGCCAGAGUUUGAAAAUCUAUCACUGGCCACCAGGCUAAUGGAUAUAUGUAUCCUAAACAGCUUUAUAGAGUCUGUAAUAAAUGAGGGCUAAGUGGUUUCAUAUAAACACUGCAUCUAUGAGACAUGUUUGGAAUAUUAGGUGCUAUGUUUAUGAAUCAUCCCUCUCCUCACCAAACGUGCUGGCAAAAUACAUAUACCCUUGAGUGAAAACAUCUACCAGAAAUUAUAGCCUACAUAAUAGAACACAUGAAAAGAACUUUGAGCAGAAACCCAAAGGAAAGAUCUUUUCAAAAAUACAUUCUAUGGCAGAUGUGACAACGUUUCAAAUCUUUGUUUUUAAAGUCUACAGAAUUAAAUACUAACAUAUAAUUACUGAAAAUUUAGUAAAUCCAAAUUCAAAUGUGCAGCCCAGUGAUUUCAGUAAAUGCUCAAUGUGAUGACAAAAUCACACAUCAUUAUUUUUCAGAGGUUUCAAAACAAGAAAAAUGAGAAAAUACAGUAUUUACUCCAAGAUGUACCUUUGGAUCUUUACCUGCCAGAAUUACCUGGCUAAUAAAAGGACCCAGCAAGGAAGACAUAAGUAAACACUAUUAGAAUAAAUUAGCAGUAACUCUAUGAUAGGAGUAAGUAAGAAACAAAUGCUUAAUUCAGCGUGAUUGACAAAAGGGUCACAGUGGAUCUCAUAAACUGGAAGGAUUGUUUUUCUCCUGUGAAGUAGGAGGACCCAUUUUAAAAUUAACUUUAACUCUCAGAUUGAUAAUAAUGUUCCCAGAUACUCUUGCACUAACAGCAUUGGGAAAGCUAGUGUAACCCUUUCUGCAAGUUUCUAACAAAACCAAAAGGACAAGUUGACUCCUAGGAGAAUACUAAAGGUAACGGCUGGGUCUCUGGAGGAGGAAGCCCUCUCUGUAGUGCUUGCCAAUAUUGGUGGUGUAAAUUCUCUUAUUAUAGCCAGUUAUAAGCUAUCAAUAGGAUAUCACUGAGUGUAGAGGAAGGAUGUGUGCCAUUGAUGCUUGCUAAGUGGUAGGAGCCAGCUCCAUCCCACUACGGAGAGACAUUUGUCCUUAAAGCUUUUAAAGAAAGCAUUAACAAA